GCGCAUAUAGUUUAACAAAAACAUUACAUUGUGAGUCUAAAUAUAGAAGUUUACACCUUCUUAUAUGCC
rnacentral:tRNA from 1 species